AUGCCGUCCUCGCCGUCGCGGCCGCCGGCGGCGGAGGAGGUCUCCGACGAUGAGAUGUCCGACGGAGAGGUACCGCCUCGCCAGUCCGCGGCGUCCUUAGUCAGGGGAGUGGCGAACCGCGCCGCGCCGGGCUCGGCCGGCGAAGAGGAAGAGGAGAUUUACAACGACGACGACGACGAGAGCUCCGAUUACGACAACUCCUACGACGACGACGACGAAUCCGAUGAGAGCGGCUCGUACUACGAAGACGGCGAGGAGGAGGAGGAGGAGGGCGCCCGCGGGGACAGGGCCUCCGGGCGCGCGGAGGAGGAGGAGGCUGCGCCGGCCGGCGUGGGCGGCGGCGCGGAGGCGGAGGGGAGUUCCCGGGCGGCCACCACCUGCUGCAUCUGCAUGGAUUCCUGGGCCUCCUACGGCGCUCACCGCAUCUGCUGCAUUCCCUGUGGACAUGUCUACGGCAGAUCCUGCUUGGAGAGGUGGCUGCGCCGCGGCGGCAACACGAGCGCCAAGUGCCCUCAGUGCAGUGAAAGGUUCAAGCACAGGCACAUCAUCAAUCUCUACUCGUCGUCGGUGCAUCUCUGGAACGAUUGCUGCCUCAAAGAGGUUGCGCUUUCUUUGCCUGUUCCUCUGUUGUAUCGCUUCUGUUCAGUGAAGAACGAUUUAUUGGUCGCCAACUGCAGAUUUGAUACGACCAAGAGUUACGUUGUCGUACCAUUCCAUCUCUGCUUCUUAGACUUUAUGUCAUGUUUCUAUGGGAUGGAUACGUGUUGUUUGGCACUGCACUUUUUAGCUUAUGACCAAAAUAGUAGUAUCAUCUUGCAUUUCCUCUACCAUUUCCCGUUCUCAAUUGUUAGAUUGUUACUGGUAUUUUGA
rnacentral:rRNA from 1 species